GACGAGCCACACGAACGUUAUUCGGAAUUACUGGGCUUAAAGGGUGCGUAGGCUGCUCGGUAAGUUGGGUGUGAAAUCCCUCGGCUCAACCGAGGAACUGCGCCCAAAACUACCGUGCUCGAGGAAGAUAGAGGUAAGCGGAACUUACGGUGGAGCGGUGAAAUGCGUUGAUAUCGUAAGGAACACCUGUGGCGAAAGCGGCUUACUGGGUCUUUUCUGACGCUGAUGCACGAAAGCUAGGGGAGCAAACGGG
rnacentral:rRNA from 1 species